GGAGUUUGGGCCGUGUCUCAGUCCCAAUGUGGCCGAUCAACCUCUCAGUUCGGCUACGUAUCAUCACCUUGGUAGGCCAUUACCCCACCAACAAGUUAAUACGCCGCAGGCCCAUCCAAAAGUGACAGCAAAAGCCGUCUUUUACAUGAACAUCAUGCGGUGUUCAUGGUUAUGCGGUAUUAGCACCUGUUUCCAAGUGUUAUCCCCCUCUUUUGGGCAGGUUGCCUACGUGUUACUCACCCGUUCGCCACUAAGCUUCUUUCGGUGAAUGCAAGCAUUCAGUGAAAGAAAGCUUCGUUCGACUUGCAUGUAUUAGGCACGCCGCCAGCGUCUCCUGAGCACGGAGUCAAACUACU
rnacentral:rRNA from 1 species